GGCAUAACUCAAACAAAAACAAAAUAUCUUCUUCCCAUUGCUGUGAUUGGUGAACGGAAAAAGUUAUGUAGUGCUAAGUUAAAAAAGAAAAAGAAAAAACAAUUGGGAGUGAGUCGAGAGAGUGAACGAGUGAGGCUGUGCUCGAGGGUGUCAAUCAAAAGCCCAUUUGGGGUAUUGCAAUAUAGGAGGCAGAUGAGUGAACUGUGUGACUGUGUCAUUCGAGAAACAGAAUCUCAAAUUGGCUUUCAGGCCACAAAGUCAAAAUCUCUGGGUUUGGAUCUUCAUUGAAAAGGAAUGCUGAGUUUCGUGAACUUGAUCGAAGUGUGAAUCAAGGACGAGACUGAAGUAGCUUGCAAAAGCAGUGACGUUCUCGAUCGAAGCGAAUUAAAGCUAGCUCAUCAUAUAGGCAAGGGCAGGCAAGCUCUUCUACGACAGGAAUAAAUAUCAUAGGAAAUAUGGUGCAAUCAAUAGAUAGGUCAAUCUCAGGAAUAUGCUCAUCUCUAUAAAUGAGUCAAUUUCAAGAAUAUGCUCAUCUCAGCUAUAACGAGUCAAUUUCAGGAAUAUGCUUAUUUAUUCGGUCUCUAGAAUUUGAUUAAAUUCACUUAAACCUGGUCAUGUUGCAAAAAGGAUUGCAUGAUGGGAGGUGAUCAUCAACUAUAAAUUGCCUAAUUAAUUGUCUACCACCUAUCUAUUAGAAUGGAAUAUCUUUGUUUCCUUUAUUUUAGCUAUCUUUGGUCAAAUCGAA